CUUCUUCUUCUUCUUCAGGAAUUCGGUCGUCGUUGCUUAUUGUUUCCUGGCUCCUUGUGUUUGUUGCCUCCAUCGACGAGGCGAUUGAUCAUGAUCAGAUCAGCGUGUGGUUCUAGCUUGUGUACGUUUACCCCUCAUCAUUUUUCACUACACAAAGUACAAAUCAUUGUGUUAGUCCCUGAUAAUACUAACCCCUGUUCAUAAACAUUCAUAUUUAUGCCUCCUUAAAUUUCUUGAUGGGUGUUAGCCCUUUUGUGUUAACAAUUAUUGUGGUGUCCAAACUCCAAACCCUUUGGUUGAACUGAAAACCAGCAAACCAAAUUGCUAGCUCGUUCUCUCGGAGGUGUCCAUAGGUCUAGGAUAUGUGUGUGCAUGUUUGUAGGGAUGAAUAUAUGUACGCUUACGUGUGUACUGUGUUAAGAAAAACAAGUCAAAUUGCCCUAAAACCCCAGGCAAAUACGCAAAAUAUCUGAGGGCGCAGAGUGGGUGGUUAAGUUAGUGGGAUACAUUAGUCAUUAGGACCAGUUAAUAAGCUGUACCAAACGAAUGCACAUGGAGUUGCGGAGGCAUUGAGGGGAAGUGGCCAAAGCCGUAGCUAAUCAUGAACUGGCUGCUAAUUAAAGUAUCCAUCGGAUGGCAGCCGUCCUGACUCCUGCAUGCACAGUCCAACAUCAACCGGGCUGGCAUUCAGAUCAGCAGGCUCAGCUGUUCUGCUUUUGACAUAAACAACAGCUCACCGCUGCGCUGCUCGCUUCCAUAUCACGCGCUGCCAUUUCUUAAUCAUUUGACCUUGAUCGCUUUCUCCUCUCCCUCCCAAUCGAGACUUUGAAUCCUCGUCGUUUCAUCGAGAUCGAUCGCGUGUGCGCGCUGGAAGCAAAAUUUUAAAAAUCGCCUACGGGAAUGGACGGGCAAUGCUGGUAGUACGUACUGGCGCACGCGUAGAUCUCGAUGCCCUCCUGGUGCCCUUCUAGCUAAGAAACGUAUCGUUCUCGUAUCAUGAAGUGUUAUAUAGUAUUGGCGCUGGCGACAGGGAGUACGAUGUUGCACAGUUAAUAUCCUAGUAUAUUCAAAGAAACACAGUUAAUAGUGUAUAUGAAGAGAUUCUAUGCGAUCAAAAUGCAAUCAUUUUCAGUGGCCGACUCGUUCAUCUGGACCUAUAUGCUACUUCCUCCGUUCCUAAAUAUAAGUCUUUAUAGAGAUUUUACUAGUGGACUACAUACGGAUGUAUAUAGACAUACUUUAAAGUAUACAUUCAAUCAUUUUGCUUCGUAUGUAGACAUCUAAUGAAAUCGCUUAAAAGACUUAUAUUUAGGAACGGAGGGAGUAUAAGAAAGGUUUAAGACGUCCGGUUGUAGAUGCUAAUUUACAAUGGAGGCAAAGCGGAUGCUUUGUCCAUACAUGGAACCAGAUAGAAAUGGCAGCUGCAUGCCAAGUUGCAGCUAGACCGAACACGCGCUACUCCUCAAGUCCUCGUUACCCGAGCCCCCCGCGCACUAGUACAUGACGCCACUAAGUUUAUGCUUUGUUUAGAUUAGCAUUUCCAUUUCAUUACACCUGUAAAACUUACAGGCAGCUAUCCGUCGUUUUGAUUUCCGGCUGAAAAUAGCUCUUCGUCUGUAAAUUACAAUUGUAGUAAGAAACAUACAUCCGUAUUCAAUUACACCGAUUUCAAACGCGGCCUUAGGGUUAAAUUUAGCGGGAAGGUUUAGGAUUAAAUUUAGCGGGAAGGGGCCCGCCCGGUAAGGGGAAUCAAAGCACGCGUACGUAGUACGUACCACCCUGCGUACGGAUCGCUUGUUUCUUCCUUUGUUUGCCACCAACUUGAUUGAUUCUCGUCCUUGCUUAAUUAGUACCACCAGCGGUACGUACUUUAAUUUGCCAGUGGUUUCUACCGCCAAAAGCGAGCAUACUUUGCCGGUAGCGGCGCCAGCUUUACAGAGAGGAGAACGCUAGCUAGCUGACCGAUGAAAAGAUAGAAAAUAGAAUGAGAUGAACCUGCAAGAGAAGACGAACAAAUGCAUGCUCGCUCGCUCCUCCCGGACCCGGUUGUACAGUUUCAUGAUUCUUGCGCCCGCCGUGAUUCGUAAACAAAGGCGCAAGCGCAACUGGCGUGAUGGCCUGCCCGGCCGGUUGGUUCCGUGAUUUUUCUCCUCGCAGCUGGUAUAGGGUUCACUUGGCAUUAACAAAGCCGAAAUCGACAUGUAGGACGACGUGACGAUGCCGAGAAAAAAAAUAUGAUUAUAUGGUCAUGCAGCUUGCACACUUGGCCAACUUGUUGCGCAACUAGCUAGCGCCACCCCGGUCAAGGACGUACGACCGCAGCAGCCCCGCCCUCGGCGCGAUUCGACUUGCUUCCUUCCCUGUCCGUCGUCUCCCCGUCACCUUUUGUACAUAUGAUAAAUCAGCUUGCGCCAUCGCGGGCAAGUUGCCGUUCAACUUGGCUGGACGGCGGCGGUGAGAGGGAAGAGGAAGCUUCGCGUGCUCGAACGCCAGUCCGGCCCUUGGCGCCUCCGAUCACCACCUUCCGGAUUCCACCACCUUUCCGUAGAGUUUGACGAGCGCCCAGACGACCGACCGCGAGCUCUUUUUUUCCUAAUAAUGAAUUAAUCGACUAUCGAUCGAGAUUUUUUGUCCUGCUUUUAUUUAUCUUGUGGGCUGCUCUCUCUGCGAUUUUCCAUCAUGUCAUGUGAAGUAUGUUUGUUUGGUGUGCCGACUUGCUAACCCCUGCGGCUGAGGCGCUGAGCUGAGCGGGUCGUCCAAUGUACUCCGUGGGAGCGACUACGUACCUCGCGCCCACUCGACCCCGUGGGAGCUGAUCGGGACCAAUAUAAUGCUCAUCGAUCUCUAGGGCGACACGUGAGCACCUUCCUUCAUGAACGGCCAUGGCUAGGCCAGUCAUAUAGACGUACGGGCCCAGAAGCACAAGGCGAGGGGCCGGGGGAGAGACAGUGGAAGCCAACAUGUACUGUAUGUCCCUACGUACCUUCAUGAAUGGCGUCGGACGCCAUGGAUAUCAUGAUGCACAGGCUCGCGGCCGGCUGGCAUCACGCAGGAGACAAAUGGACACUUAUGACCGUCAUCUGGUCCAGCUUGCCAGCCAGCCAGCCAGCGUCCUACGGCACGAGAGAUGCCUGCCGAUCAACGGACGUCCAUACGCAUACAGGCUACCAUGUGUGUGUCCAGUACCGCGCACGCACGCACGCUCCGUUGGACGUGACCGGCCGCCUCUGGCGCGGCGCAGGCUAUAUAGCAG
rnacentral:lncRNA from 1 species